rnacentral:rRNA from 1 species
AUUAUUGGGCGUAAGCGCGCGCAGGUGGUUUCUUAAGUCUGAUGUGAAAGCCCACGGCUCAACCGUGGAGGGUCAUUGGAAACUGGGAGACUUGAGUGCAGAAGAGGAAAGUGGAAUUCCAUGUGUAGCGGUGAAAUGCGUAGAGAUAUGGAGGAACACCAGUGGCGAAGGCGACUUUCUGGUCUGUAACUGACACUGAGGCGCGAAAGCGUGGGGAGCAAACAGGAUUAGAUACCCUGGUAGUCCACGCCGUAAACGAUGAGUGCUAAGUGUUAGAGGGUUUCCGCCCUUUAGUGCUGAAGUUAACGCAUUAAGCACUCCGCCUGGGGAGUACGGCCGCAAGGCUGAAACUCAAAGGAAUUGACGGGGGCCCGCACAAGCGGUGGAGCAUGUGGUUUAAUUCUAAGCAACGCGAAGAACCUU